rnacentral:rRNA from 1 species
CGGUGGCUAAUACCGGAUGAGCCGGAAGGUAAAAGAUUAAUUGCCUACAGAUGAGCUCGCGUCUGAUUAGCUAUUUGGUGUGGUAAGAGCGCACCAAGGCGACCAUCAGUAGCUGGUCUGAUAGGAUGAUCAGCCACACUGGGACUGANACACGGCCCAUACUCCUACGGGAGGCAGCAGUGGGGAAUUUUCCGCAUUGGGCGAAAGCCUGACGGAGCAAUACCGCGUGAGGGAGGAAGGCUCUUGGGUUGUAAACCUCUUUUCUCAAGGAAUAAGAAAGUGAAGGUACUUGAGGAAUAACCAUCGGCUAACUCCGUGCCAGCAGCCGCGGUAAUACGGAGGAUGCAAGCGUUAUCCGGAAUGAUUGGGCGUAAAGGGUCCGCAGGUGGCCUUGAAAGUCUGCUGUUAAAGAGUGAGGCUUAACCUCAUAAAAGCAGUGGAAACUACAAAGCUAGAGUGCGUUCGGGGUAGCAGGAAUUCCUGGUGUAGCGGUGAAAUGCGUAGAGAUCAGGAAGAACACCGGUGGCGAAAGCGUGCUACUAGGCCGUAACUGACACUGAGGGACGAAAGCUACGGGAGCGAAUGGNAUUAGAUACCC